rnacentral:rRNA from 1 species
GACGAACGCUGGCGGCGUGCUUAACACAUGCAAGUCGAACGGAAAGGCCCUGCUUUUGUGGGGUGCUCGAGUGGCGAACGGGUGAGUAACACGUGAGUAACCUGCCCUUGACUUUGGGAUAACUUCAGGAAACUGGGGCUAAUACCGGAUAGGAGCUCCUGCUGCAUGGUGGGGGUUGGAAAGUUUCGGCGGUUGGGGAUGGACUCGCGGCUUAUCAGCUUGUUGGUGGGGUAGUGGCUUACCAAGGGUUUGACGGGUAGCCGGCCUGGGAGGGUGACCGGCCACAUUGGGACUGAGAUACGGACCAGACGCCUACGGGAGGCAGCAGUGGGGAAUAUUGCACAAUGAGCGGAAGCCUGAUGCAGCAACGCCGCGUGCGGGAUGCCGGCCUUCGGGUUGUAAACCGCUUUCGCCUGUGACGAAGCGUGAGUGACGGUACUGGGUAAAGAAGCACCGGCUAACUACGUG